UCAGUUUAGAACGAGACCACUUGGAACUCGGAAGAAAAAUUUACCGUCUAGACUUCAGGAAGAUUUCUAUCAUCUCUAGUUUUCCCGCCACUUUAGCCUGAUUCCUGAAAAAUGAGGUCGUUACAACGGCCUUGUAAAUUAUUUGAAGGCGAUCGAAACGGAAGUUCGAGUAACUUUAGAUAUAUUUGAACAAUCUACCGUUUGCUACAAAUAAUAUCCAAACGUUGAUAUUUUAUAAAGUUGGCAAACAGUUCAAUUCUGAACUGUGCGUUGGUGUAUGUUAGGUCAUGCGUCGUGACGACUAAUUGAUAGCUAGGUGGCUGUGUAUGUGUAGGUUUGAAUGGUCCCAACUGCCUCGGGUUUUAACGUAAACAUAAUCAAACCUAGUUUAUAUUCAUGUAAAUGGGAGUAUCUUAUGAAAGAAGACUGUCCAAAUGUGGCUCCCAUGUUUAUUUUUAACACACAUUUCAAUCAAAUUUAAAUCGGCCCAUGUAAACUGUUGAAAUGUGUCACGAAAUUAGAAAAUAGGAGUGUAACGGUUCUUCCUUCUUUGCAGAAUUCAGGUUUAGCAGUAAUGCAAAACAGUUUGGUGUAUAACAGUGUUUUCGUCUGUAAUGGUAAAUAACCAAAAAUGAUACCUUUACAAAAUCAAGACUUCUAUUUGAACUCUCAAAUUAAAAUUACAGGAAAAGAGUGCACCCAAGCCGUAUUCUAACCCUUUCUUAACCAUGAAACUUGUGUCCAAAAAGCCUUGACAAUGGAAAAACAAUACAAUUUAGACUUGGGUUCGUUACCUGUUGUGAGUGCCUCCGAGUUUAUUAAAGAUCGUUUUUAUUUCGUCACUCUGAGGGUGUCCACUGGAAAGCCAAAAUCAACACCAAAUACUCAUUACUUUUGUAUAGAUGAAGAGUUAGUAUAUGAAAAUUUCUACUCCGAUUUUGGUCCUCUCAAUCUGGCCAUGCUGUACAGAUACUGUACGAUGGUAAACCAAAAACUACAGAUGUACACCAGCAGUGUAAGAAAGAAAAAGAUUAUACAUUAUACUACGAUGGACGGACAUAAAAGAGUAAAUGCAGCCUAUCUAGUAGGUUCCUAUGCGAUAAUUUACUUGAAGAAGCCAGUGGACGAAGUGUACAAAAUUCUACUUGGUGUUAGAAACCCACCAUUUUUAAAUUUUAGGGACGCCUCAUAUGGAGCGACACUGUACCACAUCAACCUCAAAGACUGCUUGCAGGCUAUCUACAAAGCACACGAAUUGGGAUUUUUUAAUUUCUCAGACUUUGAUGUUGAGGAAUAUGAACACUAUGAGAAAGUCGAACACGGUGAUCUCAACUGGAUUGUGCCACAAAAAUUCAUCGCUUUCUGUGGUCCUCAUGGAAAAAGCAGGAUUGAGAAUGGUUAUCCAUUACAUUCACCUGAGUCUUAUUUUGCCUACUUCCGCAAGAACAAUGUGACCACAGUGGUUCGACUGAACAAGAAGAUAUACGAGGCCAGUAGGUUCACUACUGGAGGGUUCGAGCACAAAGAGCUGUUCUUCCUGGACGGAAGCACUCCCACGGACAACAUUGUGAGGCAGUUCCUCAACAUUGCAGAGAGUGCUACUGGUGUCAUAGCUGUCCACUGCAAAGCGGGGCUGGGGCGCACAGGGUCUCUGAUAGGCUGCUACAUUAUGAAGCACUACAGGUUCUCGGUGCUAGAGGCCAUAGCAUGGAUACGGAUAUGCAGGCCUGGCUCCAUAAUUGGCCAUCAGCAGGAGUGGCUCAAGACGAAAGAGGCCCAGAUGUGGACGGAAGGAGACCAGAUGCGCCGAUUACAGGGUCGCAACCCAAACAACUUGCCAAAGCACACGUACGGAAUAUACAGUUUGAAAUGGAAAGACAUUGUCAGCAGAAGUCCGUUCUCGUCUCAGAAACUGAGAAAAGCUUCGGAUACGUUGUCGAGAAUUCUGCAGAAAGUGGAUACUAUGAAACUGGAAGAUCAAAAGGAAGAUAAGAAGAUAGGCCACACUCUAGAGAGUGUUAGUAGGGAACCAAACUAUUGUUGGAAGGACAUGAAAUGUAGGAGUUCAAACUUGACCCAAGGAGACCGUUUGAACCACAUUAAGGCAUUUCGUAGACUUCACCCCAGGACUCUCGGCUCUACUGGACUGUACAGCAGUGCGAGGAUAAACCCCAGAAACAAACAAAAUGUAAAUAUAGCCCCAGAGACUUGCCCAGUAAAACUGGCAAAAGUGAGUUCUAUCAGUUCCGGAGAUUCUACUGGCUCCGCGCUCAGCGUCAAACGCAUCUCUAGAUCCACAGUCGUCAUCAACAAAAGACGCAAGCUAAAAUCUUGGUUCUGCUGUAAGUGGAACUUCCUAAAUGCAUGACUGCAUGACACUAAACCUUGUUUGUUCUUCUUUUGUUCUAUUAAUGUUUUUCUAUAUGUCCCAGGGCAACAACUACACGCUCCUCCAAGAUUGUGGGCUAGAAGACAACACGUUAUACAUGCUUCAAUAGAAAAUAUUCUAACUGUAUUUUAUAGACCUUCUAAAGGCAAUAAUUUUCCUGAGUGAUUAUCAUUUAAGGUAAAUGUUGGAGAUGUACUAAAUACUUUAAUGGACUAAUGCAUUUAAAGUCAGUAUGGUUUAUAUUUAGCUGCUGUCAAUUGAAUUAACAUUUUUAACCUGUUACUUCUAAAUAAUUAAGUUACGGUUGUGUCUGGAAUUAACUUAAUGAUCUGGCAUGUUAUUUGUUAUUGUUAAAUUUGAUUACGGCGAUUAGUUAAUGAAAUUAGCCAACUGUGUAUUUUAGUAUUUACUUGUAUAUUAAAAAUGUUGGUUUUAGGAUAAUAAGAAUUAAAACACUGAAUCACUUUUGUAAGUAGGAAAAUAAUGUGGUUCAGCGUCGCGCACUCACGCCUAACUAACAGAACAAUUUGUGAUGGGUGUGAGAAGAUUUGGAUCAUUGUCUCUGAUAUCCAUAAGAUCACAAGUGCAAUUUGAAAGAUUCUAUCUUUCCCACAAAUAGUACCUCUGAAGAGCACAUCACUGUUUAAUAUAAGUGUUUUCUGUAAGAUCGUUAGUUUCAAUGCACUAUAUAGGUUUUACACUAUUUGCAUGGAUGUAUAUAUUGCAAAGCUUUACCCACUCUCAAUUUAUCGUAAAUUUUAAUAUAUUAAAACGAAUUAAUCGAGAUGUUUUAUUUUUAUACAUAACUUUAUACAUAUAAUAUUGUAUAUGUAUAAUAAUUUUAGUGAUUAUUUUAUUUGUUGCUUUUAUUUUUUGAUUACUUUAUAACUGUUAUUUCUAAAUCCAUGAUAGUUUUUCUAUUGAAGCUGGAUUUCAUUGUGUACACAUAUAAACCUGUUAUCGUUUUCGAUUACGAUUUUAUGAAUCUUAUGUUUAUCAGUUCAAGUACCUCAAGAUCAUUUUAAAUUAUUGCAGCGGUUUUUAAUAUUUUAAUGGUAUUGUUAACUAAUAAUAUUUACUUAAUUAUUUUCAUCUAUAAUACUCUUCAUUUACUAAUUUUUAGGAGUACAUAAUUGAUAGGAUAGCAUGGAUAAGCAUGCAAAUCCUAAAUUAUUGUUAUUAGUUUUCCUUUUUUCAGAUUGUGUGAGCUUUUGUGGUGUUAAUAUGAAAUUAUUUGGAGUAACAGUGCCAAAACACACGAUACAUAUGUCAAUCAAUGUUAGAGGAUCAUCAUUUAUUACAUUACAGAAUAAAUUUAUCAUUUUUUAUUAUUCAGAAUAUUAAUGUACUGUCGUCUGGGGUUUAGUUGGCAAUACUGCUUUGUUUUAUUACAAUUUAAUAGUAUUGUUCGAUUGUUAUAGAUGUCAGUAAUAGGAUCUUAAGAGUGUUUGGUCACCAUGUAAAUUUUGUCCUAAAGAUAUUUUGUUGUUCUGAUAAUGAAAAUUGGCUUAAGAAUGUAAAAGUGGUGUUUAAGUGUUUUAUACUAACAAUACUGUGAGUGUCAAUUCUGUUCGUUAUUUUGUAGGUAGCUCAGAGACAGUUUCAAUUAUUUAAAUAAUAUGUGCCAUUACUUUGUCAAAGAACUGCGCUAAAGUCCCAUCACCUAUGAUUGUAUUAGUUUACUUUAUUAUCCUCCUCUGCUCUGAAUGUUUUUCUACACUAUGCUGCUAUCUAGGAUUGAUAUGUAAAACAUAUUGUACAACACUCCAUUACAUUAUUGAAACAGUAAUUUUUAUGACAUUGCCAAUUAUUAUUUUUUCUAUAUAAACCUUGUAAUCAUAAUAAUUUUUAAAACAUUUUUGUAUCGAAUUUCAUGAGCUUUACAAGAGAAUUAAUAAAAUUAUAAAAAUAUGAAUAAGCAUUCUAUCGCGGCAGAUCAACAAAAUAAAUCCAGCCCAAAAGCAUGUCGCACAUUCAUAACUAAUAAAAACUAUAUUUUUAUAGUCUAUUGUCAACUGAAUAAAUAGAGAUAUUUUGACAAAAAAUCAAUUUGGUGAUCAAACAUCCUUAAAUAUAAUUAUAAUUUCUUUGUUGACAUAAAUUUCACACACACGAGAGACUUUAACCCUCGAAUCAGCAGUUGAUAUUUAUCUAACUGGCAGGUUUUUUUUGGUGAUUUAGAGAUUUUUACUUGGUAUCACUUUGUUCUCAAUUAACUAGGUAAUAAUAUGAUGUGUAAUAUACUCCAAAAUAUAAAUAUGUAAAAUUUUCUUUGUUAGUCAAAGUUAUAAACACCGGUUGAAAACUUAGGUGGGCAGUAUAUUUAGAUAGUUACUUGAAUAACUUAAAAAUGUCAAAAUAGCCAAAAUGGUCUAAAUUUAUUUUUGUUUUAAAAAAUGGAUAGUUUAUUUGGUUUUUAGAAAUAUAUGUCUUGUAGUACAUAAACUGGAAGUAUUACUUGAAACUAAUAAUUUGUUACCAUGGAAGCAUAAAUUUUAACGAGGAAAAUUAUAGCAUGAAACACAUAACUUGUUAUCAAAACGUACUCUUUAGCACUUAUUAUAAUUAAGUUAUAUAAAUAAAGAUAAAUCAAUAAACAUGAUAUGUUACAUAAAAACAAUUACAUAAAAAAGACCAAGCACUGCCGAUAAAAAUAGCAUUAUUUAAAACAUUGGACAAACAAACCGAUCAACUAGUUUCAGCAACUGUGUCUGACGUUACAAUUAAAAAUUAUGGUUUUUAAUUAUUUUUUAAAUAAAUUCACAUAAAAGAACAGAUAAAGCCAUUACUAUAGUCACCUGUUCAUCAUAUUUACAAUGGUAUAUAAAUCAUAUCAGUUAUUUCAGUACGUAUAUAGGUAAAAAAUAAUCACAACAGCCAACGGCACAAAUCCGUUGAUCGCAUUUGAGUAAUGUCGUAAUCAAGAAUCAAGAAUCAAGAAUCAAGAUGUUCAACAGAUGUUCUGUUGAUUUCUGCUUCGAGGGUUAAUGAAUAUUUCUAUAUCAUAUUUUCAAAAUUCCUGCAGUAUUUUUCAUGCUUGUUAUAUGAUAUAACAUAUUGAACAUGUGCAUGCGUUCAUGAUGUUAAAUAAGAAUUUAUGAAAUUCAUUACUAACAAACAAGCGAAAACAAGUGCUUGGUUAUAUUCAAGCGUAUGUUUACCAAUAAAAAAUCUUGGUGACACAUCUUCAGGAAAAGUACUAUAGUGGAAACUGCCUUGGUGGUACACAUUGCCAACUUAAUCCCGGACGGACACUAAACCUAUAGAUGUAUGUGUAUAUUUUUUUAUUUUAUAGAAAAAUAUAUAAACUAAAAAGUUAUCAAUUUAAAAUAGUUCCAGUGAUUGUUCUAAGCAUUCAUGUGUAUAAUAGUUUUACUUAUUUAAGCAAAUGUUUGUUUAUUAUUGUUAUUUAAUUUGCAUGUCAUGAGAUAUUUUAAGUUACUUUGUUAUUUAAGUAAGAUACAUAUUUACAUGGUAGUCUACUUAGUACUUUACUAAUUACUUAUAUUAAUACUGGUGAUCUAUAUAUAUGGAUUUUAUUUUUUUAGUCUUGCAAGUAUGUUUUGUUUUAUUCUUUUUCAGAGUAAAUUAUUUUGGAUUUAAUGAUUAGUCCUGAACUGUGAUGUCAGCGUGGGAUGGGUGUCCGCAUAGAUAACUAUAAACUGUUUACAGUAUCCUUGAAAAUUAAUUUGAUCUCACUAACACAAUAAUGAUACUUUCACAAUGUACAGUACUAAAGCUUGGAUUGCUGUUCAAUCUUAUGUAUUUUAUAGUACACAUUCUAUAUUUUCAAUUUUCCAAACAUGUAUAGCAUAAACCGUAUGUGAUAUACUUUUGUUUUACUACGUUAUUUGGUUAUUUUUGUUAUAUACGAGAUUAUACACUUUUCUAAUCUUUGUACUAAUUAAAUCUUUUCUUAUGAGGCAUGAAUAAAUAUUUGUUCAUUUACACUAUAUAAUACAUUGGUUGCUCUAAAAUGCUACAGGUAAAUUGGUUAUUUUAAAAUAUCAGGGGUAAAAUGAUAACUUCUAGUGCAGUUUCUUGUGAGAUACGUUUCUUAUAGCAAAUUUAAUGUAAAGUACCUAUCUGUAAAAUAAUGUGGUUUUAUUUGCUAAGCUGGCUUCCUUUUUGUUAAGCCUGUAGAUAUAAAAAGACCUGAUGAGCAUUCUCAGUGGGCACUCAUCCGUAAACAAUAGCACAAGUAAUAGCAAUACUCAGCUACUGGUGCUUAUAUUUUCAACUAACAUAACUUCAAUAAGUUCUCAUUACUUGUGUAACUCCAUUGUAACAUUAUAAAUGGUCGCAUUCGUAAUAUUUCUCGAUGCAAAAAUUCAAGUCCGUAACCUCUCAUUGAGUUCAGUGUGAGAAUCCGCCUUACAAAAUGGUUAAUAUAGUUUUAUCUGAUUGUAUACAUAUAUGCUGUGACUGAUUAGUGUAUUUCAAAAGAAAUAAAUUAAUGUUUUUCAAAAUUUCAACAGACUAUCACAAAUUAUACAAUUUCUGGUUGAAUUCUAAUCAUUAAAUCUCUUUUAACUACUGUGAGAACAAAUACGCCAAUUGUCAGCUUACUUUUGUUAGUAGGACUAGGAGAAUUAGUGACAUAGUGUUCAAUACAGUAGGCCUAUACCUAACAUAGAUAGAUUCUGGGUUGUUUAUGCCUCAUUGACAACAGUUAUUUUCCUGGCCUUUGGCUUCUAAUGUCUCGUGCAGAUAUAUUCAGUUACACUGACAAGAAUAAGCAUUUUUUCAUUCCAGGGGACCCUAAUAAACCCAUGUCAAUUGAAAUUCCAAGUUUACAGAGCUGAUUUUAUGAAGAAUCAUUUAAUUAUAAACCAUUUCCAUCAUAAAAUGUAUCACAUAUAUUGUAGACAUCUUACAGACAUUUCAAAGAGCUUUUUGUGAUAUUAGUGGAAACACUUUGACGUAAAUCAAACCUUGAUGUAAUAUAAAACUAUCAAACUCAAGUGGACACUUAUUAUCAUUAUGUUAUUAUUUUAUUGUGUGUUUUUUUUUUUUUUUUUUUUUUUUUUUUUUUUUUUUUUUUUUUUUUUUUUUUUUUUUGAGACACAGUGAUCAGUCAAUGAAUGGCACAAUGUAUAUGAUUGAUUUCUUGUGUAAUCUUUUGAUUGAAUAUUGUUUGUUCAUAUUGUUCUAAAUUUUGAAUUCUAUUAGAUUUGAUGCAUUUGUUUUGUUUUCUGAGGAGGUAGCUCGCACUUAGUACUUUGUAAAAGAACCACAUAAUCAUUAAAUGUGUGACCUCAUAAAAAGUUAAAGUGUUAAAAGCAAUCUAAUUAUUUGUUAAAAGCAAUCUAAUUAUUUGUUAUACUUACUACUUAAUCGAAAAGCAAUAUAAAGGUAGAGAUAUCGGUUUAGAGACUCAAGGUGCUAUGACUGGGUUAGGUUAGAGAUAGUGCAGGCCCUAAUCCUGUUUUCUGCACUUUUUAUCAGUACUGUACACGUUGUAAUCCUUGGUAAGAACCUUGCACAGGCCUAUGGCCAAUGUGGAUAGGUAAAAUACGGCUAAAAUGUCGAUACCUCCUUAGAUGACAUUGCACCAUGACAUAAAGUAAUUUUUAUCGGCCAUUUACUAAAGAUAAAAUGGAGAAUGUUAUGCAACAAGGAAUCAACCCUCAGUUUGGUCAGUUUUGAGGUAAUAAAUUGAUUCCAUAGAGUAAAAAACACACUUGCCAAUGACGCAGUGUAGCGGGUACAGCAAUUAUCGCAAGAUAACCGAUCAAGCAACGUCAAGCGUGGCCGCUGCUUGGAUAGGUGACCGCUGAGCGAUCCUGUCCUUGCAAGCGGCCCGCCUGCCCGGCCAUUGGUGGUGGUUCGGAAGUCACCUUUAAGCCGUUGGUCCCCAGGUUAAGUGUUAGAGAGGGCUUCUUAGCCCUAACUUCGCCUGGUAAAAUAAGACAUUCUUUUCUUUACUUUAUCUGAAAGUAAAAUUCAUAUGGUCUUGCUGAAUUCCGUUUUGCUAAUACAGCGGUCUGAACCAACCAACACAAACCUAUAUAGAAUUUAAAAUUUUGCAACAUAGAACCAACCAGCCACUUGAACCAACCCACAUUUAAAAAUCCAUAAUUGAAUAUUUCAGCAAGGAACCAAGAUGAUGUUGGUUCCUUGUUGCAAAAUAGAGUUUAGAUUGUUUAUGAAACCAAACUUGUUUACGGUUCCAUUAAAUAAAUAAAUAAAAUCAUUGUGAAAUGUUUGUACCUUAGCUUUUUUUAAUAAUAAUCUAUUUUUAAUGUUAAUUUCUGCAUAUGCAGGCCUAACUUGUUUGUUGUUAAAAUACAAGCUGGUUGGUUCUUUGUUGCUAAACCAAAAUAUCUAUUCAAGCUCUUAAAUAAUAUUUGAAGAGUUUGGUCAUUAAGUAGCUACAAAAGCCAAAAUUUGUAUUUAAAAACUACAAUAAAAGAAGGACCUUUUCAUCGCAAGUAUGCCAAAGAUAUUGACAAAAGAAGAUUCACUUUUUGAAUGAAUUAAAGGUCUGCAGUAGUAUGUUUGUGUAUACCUUGAGUACAUCAACAAAAGGAUAAACACUGUUCUGACUAAAUGUAGAAAGAAUGACGCCAAAAAUACCAGAGGUGUAAGAGGAGGACAUAACAAAACCCCUGAAAGUAAAGUAAAAGAAGUUGUAAACUUAGUGACAAGGAUUCCUAAGUAUGUAUUACACUAUAAAAGGGAAACUACAAGCAAGCAGUUCUUUCCUAUGGAUAUGACAGUACAAAAGAUGUAUGAUCAGUUCAAAUCUGAGGUGAAAGACACCUUGAAACUUGCGGUUAAAAAAAAUGUGUUUUGUACUAAAUUUAAUUUGACAAUAAAGGUACUAAAAACAGAUUGUUGCAACAGAUGUGAUUCUUUGGAAGUGGCGAUAAAAAUGAAGUUGUUGAAGGUAAAAAAAGUGAUAAGACAUAAACAAGAAGAAUACUGGAGCGAAGCAACAUUGGCCAGAGAAAAUAUGAAUGUAGAUAUAUUUAAAGAAGCAAGAGCGAUGAAAAGCUUGAAGUAAUAACAUAUGACUUAGAGAAAACCCUUCCCUUACUGAGAUUACUAACAAAUUUAAUAUUUUAUAAGAGACAUCUGUGGCUGUGUAACCUUUGAGUCCACACUGGAAAACGGAAUCAGGUUCAUAGUAUUGUUUGGGCUUAGAAUGAAGCGGGAAGAGGAGCACAGGAAGUAGGGUCAUGACGUUUUUGUAGUGAGUUCCUAGAAUCUGGUGUAGAGGAGUUGAUCAUGUGGUCAGAUUCAUGCAGUGGCCAAAAUCGCAAUUUUAAAAUUGUACUAAUGAUGAAAUCCGUAUUGGUAACCCAUCCUACAUCGAAGAAAGUAAUUUUUAAGUAUCUAGUAUCAGGACACUCAUUACCCAAUGAAUGUACCUUAAAAUUCAGCAGAGGUUGUUUACACCAGAUGAUUAUAUGUUUGUGAUGGAAAACUGCAAGAAAAGAAAUAAAAUAAUCGUACUCAAAAUAGUAAAGAAUGAUUUUGUUUCUACAGAAAAUAUAGAGACAAAAGUAACAUAUAGAAAAAGAGAUGAAACAAAUGAAAAGAUAAGCUGAUUUACAACUAAGGAAAUUGAAAUCACCAAAGAUGAUCCCUUCAUUUUAAGUAUGAAAGCUACUUUUGGGGGAACCCCUCAAAGGAUGGACAUACAAAGGAAAGGAUCUGGGAGACCAUCUGCGUUAGUUUAUUCUUCGUCGUCCAAAGUACUGUGGCCAGAAGGAAGCUGUGUCUGUCCCUAAGCGUAGACUUAAAAUCUAUUCUUCAUUUAGUACCACUUGAAGCUCAGGGGUUUUAUACUGGACUCGUAAGAUGAUCCCUUCAUUUUAAGUAUGAAAGCUACUUUUGGGGGAACCCCUCAAAGGAUUGACAUACAAAGGAAAGGAUCUGGGAGACCAUCUGCGUUAGUUUAUUCUUCGUCAUCCAAAGUACUGUGGCCAGAAGGAAGCUGUGUCUGUCCCUAAGCGUAGACUUAAAAUCUAUUCUUCAUUUAGUACCACUUGAAGCUCAGGGGUUUUAUACUGGACUCGUAAGCAGCGUAAAUGUAAAUGAAGAUUUGGAAGGUUACAACGUCCCACUUUAUUUUGAAGUUAACAUACAUAAGUCAGCCCUGUUGUUUUAAGUGUCAAAACAAGCAUCGCUAAAUAGAUAUUUUGUAUUACUCCUGUAUAAACUUAUUUUUAUUUGUAAAUUUUUGUAUUAUUCUGUUUCAAAAAUAUUUGUGGGAUAAAAGAUUUGCAUAAAAUUAAAUUAUUUAUCUUUAUAACAUUAACUAUUCAUUGCCUUCUCGUUAAACCUAUAAGAUUUUUAAUCAUUAGGAUCUGUUUUAAUCAGCAGAGAUCUGCUAUGUAAUACCUUGCAAAUCAAUAGAUAAUUCUUAUAAAUCACUAUGAUUCUACAAACUCAAAUACUAUGGUAGCAGACAUUCAUUUAAUAAGGCAAACAACUCAAUAGUAAAAGGAACCAACCAACACCUUCUUCAUAUAUAAAAAAUGCAACAAGGAACCCCUUAUUUCAGCUUUAAAAGUGUAAAAUUGAGGUAAAAUAUGUAAAAUCUUAUAUAAAUAAAUGUAAAAUAUCACUUUUUAUCCUUUAAAAGUAAUUUCAAUUAUUUAAUUGUGGCCUAUAAUUUUAGAAGAGGACCCAAACUUAAACCAGUUUUUCUCAGAUUAUGAGUCAAGUGGGUUAGUACCUAGUUGCAUAACACUGUUCAAAUGACACCAACUUCUUUUGCAUUUUUAAAUCACUCCCCGAAUCUUUAAUCCAUUUGUUUCUUAGUCAUAUAUGCCUGUUUUUAAUGUGCGAGAACAAAGUUUUAUAAACUACUUAACUGUACAUUUUGUAAAAAUGUCAAAUUAAAUUUUAUUAUAAAAUUAAGUAUUGUACUUUCAUAAAAGUGUGUAAUUUUGCGAACUAAUACGUUUUAGAUGAAGCUUUGCCUGUUUUAUUCAAUAGUUUCUUUUAGUUUCUAACAAAUUAAGAUAAAAGUAAUGUAGUGUACUAUAGUUUAAAGAAAUAGCAAGUAAUUUUAACCCCCAGCUUAAUGGGUUCUGACUGGUGUCAUGCCUACUUGGGUGAAUAGAGCUGGGUACAACAAAAGUUUCCACCACUGGUGGCGGGUGGGUGGUGGUGGUGAACCUGAGAGUAUGGUGCUGAGGAAGUUGUGGGGGGGAGGUGAUAUCCUCCUCUGCUGAGAAAGAUCGGAAGUCUAGCACUUCUAUUGAAGGUAAGACUGACCAAAAAAGGAAAGAACCAGAGCGAGCAGAGAGUGUCACGCCUCUCCCGAUCAAACAACUUGUCAACUUCUGUAGGCACCAGCAACAAUCUGCAAGGUUCAUGAUGAAGGCCCCACCUGCCAUCACUUAAACGAGAAGGGUGCAAUCAUCCGACCACUUUCUUGCCUCUCCUUUCUCGUUUCCUCUCUUCUGAUUUCUUGUGGUGGCACUAUGAGAAAUCGAUGCUGAAAUGCACUCAAGAGAUUGUUUUCCCCGGGGGCAUUUUAGUUUCCAAAGACAACACAGAAAGUCUAAUUUUAUACUGUUUUUUUAUUAAUGUUAAUUUGCUUUGGUUCUUCUACCUGCAGUAAUGUAAUAUCAUUAAACUGUGUGCAUUGCAUUCAGCAACUUUAUUUUGAAAUACAAUUUAUGUCUACCUAA
rnacentral:misc_RNA from 1 species